rnacentral:lncRNA from 1 species
AUCCCUGAGCUGGCGAAGUCCGAGCCUGCCCCACAGAAGGAUUCUUAGAAGCUGCCAUCAACAAACAGAAGGACAAGGAGCGCAAACGCUACUGAAAGGAGAGCUUCUAGCAAGUGUACAACGUGCUGAAGCAGGUGAGCCCCAACAUGAGCAUCUUAUCCAAGGCCAUGGGCAUCAAUUACAUUUUAAAGCACAUUGCCUGCAUCGUGCCGCAUUACAAAAAGCGAGUAACCGUCAUAUCUCAGUUGAUCCAGACUGCCAUUCUCCUGCAUUGCCCAGGAAGCUGGCAGAGCACCAAGCCUGUUACCAAGAAAACAAAC